AGGAACGGAUUAAGAGCUUGCUCUUAUGAAGUUAGCGGCGGACGGGUGAGUAACACGUGGGUAACCUGCCCAUAAGACUGGGAUAACUCCGGGAAACCGGGGCUAAUACCGGAUAACAUUUUGAACCGCAUGGUUCGAAAUUGAAAGGCGGCUUCGGCUGUCACUUAUGGAUGGACCCGCGUCGCAUUAGCUAGUUGGUGAGGUAACGGCUCACCAAGGCAACGAUGCGUAGCCGACCUGAGAGGGUGAUCGGCCACACUGGGACUGAGACACGGCCCAGACUCCUACGGGAGGCAGCAGUAGGGAAUCUUCCGCAAUGGACGAAAGUCUGACGGAGCAACGCCGCGUGAGUGAUGAAGGCUUUCGGGUCGUAAAACUCUGUUGUUAGGGAAGAACAAGUGCUAGUUGAAUAAGCUGGCACCUUGACGGUACCUAACCAGAAAGCCACGGCUAACUACGUGCCAGCAGCCGCGGUAAUACGUAGGUGGCAAGCGUUAUCCGGAAUUAUUGGGCGUAAAGCGCGCGCAGGUGGUUUCUUAAGUCUGAUGUGAAAGCCCACGGCUCAACCGUGGAGGGUCAUUGGAAACUGGGAGACUUGAGUGCAGAAGAGGAAAGUGGAAUUCCAUGUGUAGCGGUGAAAUGCGUAGAGAUAUGGAGGAACACCAGUGGCGAAGGCGACUUUCUGGUCUGUAACUGACACUGAGGCGCGAAAGCGUGGGGAGCACACAGGAUUAGAUACCCUGGUAGUCCACGCCGUAAACGAUGAGUGCUAAGUGUUAGAGGGUUUCCGCCCUUUAGUGCUGAAGUUAACGCAUUAAGCACUCCGCCUGGGGAGUACGGCCGCAAGGCUGAGACUCAAAGGAAUUGACGGGCGCCCGCACAAGCGGUGGAGCAUGUGGUUUAAUUCUAAGCAACGCGCAGAACCUUACCAGGUCUUGACAUCCUCUGAACACCCUAGAGAUAGGGCUUCUCCUUCCGGAGCAGAGUGACAAGUGGUGCAUGGUUGUCGUCUUCUCCUGUCCUGAGAUGUUGGGUAAGUCCGUCACCACCGCAACCCUUGAUCUUGUUGUCAUAAUUAGCUUGGGAAUUUAAGGAACGCCGGGGACACCCCAGAAAAGGGGGAGGAGGUGGGAAUAACAUGCCCCUACCACCCCCCCUAAAAA
rnacentral:rRNA from 1 species